rnacentral:rRNA from 1 species
UGGGGAAUUUUGCACAAUGGGGGAAACCCUGAUGCAGCGACGCCGCGUGAUUUAGAAGGCCUUCGGGUUGUAAAAAUCUUUUCUAUGGGAAGAAAAUGACAGUACCAUAGGAAUAAGGACCGGCUAAUUACGUGCCAGCAGCCGCGGUAAUACGUAAGGUCCGAGCGUUGUCCGGAAUCAUUGGGCGUAAAGGGUACGUAGGCGGGUAAGCAAGUUAGAAGUGAAAUCCUAUAGCUCAACUAUAGUAAGCUUUUAAAACUGCUCAUCUUGGGGUUUGGAGGGAAAGUGGAAUUCCUAGUGUAGCGGUGAAAUGCGCAGAUAUUAGGAGGAAUACCGGUGGCGAAGGCGACUUUCUGGCCAUAACCUGACGCUGAGGUACGAAAGCGUGGGUAGCAAACAGG